UGGAUGGAUGGAUGGAUGGAUAGAUGGAUGGAUGGAUGGAUGGAUGGAUGGAUGGAUGGAUGGAUGGCACAUUGUUAAGAUCAUGAAGCACAAGAUUCGUUUUUCCUGAAGAAAAUUAACUUGAGCUUCACGUGUUGCAAGCCGCGUUUUCAACAAGUCGCAUCAAAACAGACAGCGAACAUCAGUGACGUAUAAAAACAUCAUCAGCAUCAGCAAGCAGCGAAUUUAAUGCAAAAAGUAAAAUGAUGUGUCAGAUAACUCCUGAUGAAACAAAACAUCUGUCAAGGAAACAGAUGAGACUGACGGCAUCUGUUGGUUGUUAUUCACCUGUAAAUUUAUGUAUUUAUUUUUUUAAUUUAGAGCCAGUGUUCAUUACAAGUUUAAUCUCAGCAUGACUUUGAAUCGAUAGAAAACCAAUGAAUCAAUGAAGUCUCAUGGUGCAACAGAAUGUGGAUCAGUGCGUAUUGCAGUCGAAAGGUUGUGGGCUUGAUUCCACAUACAGUCACACGCCAAUAUGCAGCCCAUCAGUGUUUUGGUGCAAGAAUUUGUUAGUGGAAUUGGGUGAAUGUGACUGUAAAGUGCUUUGAAUGGUCAGAAUGACGAGAAAAGCUCUACACAAAUUGAGUUUUUCCACUUUUCUCUUUCCUUUCCUCUCAUCACAGUGACCUCAACUCGUCAGCUUCAGUAUCUUGAUAACUAAGAACUCAUGGCACCUACAAUUUUAUACAGAAAAACUGCUGGAUCCAUGUAGUCUUCCGUGAUUGUGUUAAAAACAGAACAUAAAUGGGAGAACAAACUUAAUCUUUACUUUACGACACGAAACUAAGAUAAUAUUUUUACUUGCAUUUUAAUAUGAAUCUCAUAGGUUGAUAUAACAUCAUUACACAUUUUAUGUUUUACACUGAGUUUCUCAGUUCUAGAGGAAAUAAAUCCAUACACUACAUAUUUUUCAACGCUGCAGCCCCAUCAACAAAUCUAUAUUUACAUUUCAGUUUCUUAUUAUCUUUUCUGUUUUCCUCUUCCGCCUUUUAGCCAGCACCAAUCUGCUCUUUCGUUUCUACACGCCACUCAAAUCCUGCAAGCUAUUUCUGUAAUUAUUUGUCGAGCAGCUUCCUCCUGAUUUGAUUAAACUCCGACAGUUUUUAUGCUCCAGUUGGAGGGAGCGUUUCCCUCUUGUUCAAUCCCGGCUAAGGAGGAGAAACUACAGGCAUCAAAUCAUGUUAAAUCGUGUCAGAGCGCUGACUUAUGGGAGUCAAACGCUGAGCGAUCGGCCGGCUGGCCUAAAUCCGACUCCCGCUGCCGUGACGGGCGAAA